UCCCUGGUGGCUCAGAUGGUAAAGCGUCUGCUUACAAUGUGGGAGAUCCGGGUUCAAUCCCUGGGUUGGGAA
rnacentral:tRNA from 1 species